AUUCAGCCCUUUGUCGCUAA
rnacentral:snRNA from 1 species